UACGUAGGGGGCUAGCGUUGUCCGGAAUUAUUGGGCGUAAAGAGCGUGUAGGCGGUCCGGUAAGUCAGCUGUGAAAGUCAAGGGCUCAACCCUUGAAUGCCGGUUGAUACUGUCGGGCUAGAGUCCGGAAGAGGCGAGUGGAAUUCCCGGUGUAGCGGUGAAAUGCGCAGAUAUCAGGAGGAACACCGAUGGCGAAGGCAGGUCUCUGGGCCACUACUGACGCUGAGAAGCGAAAGCAUGGGGAGCGAACAGG
rnacentral:rRNA from 1 species